GGUCGCAUGUGUGUGUAUUAUCAGGUACUUAAUAAUUUGUUUUAAUUAGAUUGUUAUUAUUGAGCUAAUGCUAAACAUAAUCCUUUGGAUAAGAAACCUUGGAAAGUACUUCUGGUAUUAGGAAUUCUUAAAAUAGCUGCAAAAGGAACUCUUUUUUUCGUUACUUAAUAGUUUUGAAACUUUCCUUAUUCUAAAUUAUUGUAAUAGUUUCGAAACUUCUCCCUCUUAUUAAUAAUAUUUUUUCUUUUUGAAAAAAGAUUCAUAAAGGUUAUGAAGGUUAUGAUUUUCCAAAAUUGUAUGUGAGUACAGAUGUACGUUAGGUUGGUUGGUUAAGGUUCAAAGCAGCUGUUUCUUGCUUGGUGCGCUAGUGCCGCUGGCUAAAAUAUCGUCCAUAUCGUUUUGUUCAAAAUAUAAAAUUGUAGGUCGAUUCAUCACGAUUAAGAAGAAAAAGGAAACAGGAAGAUAAAACGUUUCGAAUCCAAUUCAUGUAUAAUUAUACAAUAUAUUUAACUAACUACAUCAUUGCUUAGAUAAUCCUCGAUCACUUCCUCAAGUGUGUGGUUGAUGGGAUACUGCGCACACUGAAGUAGAGCUACCGACUACAGGCGCUGCUCGCCACUACUUGUUAAGAAGCCGCCACUAUUUGCUGUAUCUCUCCUUCAUUGGCUGGUCGGAAACUCACUCGUUUCUGCAGGAUCCAAUACAAGAAUAUUUCAAUAUAUUUUCUCUUAAGUAUUCUAAAACAAUAAGUUAGACAUAAACAUUCAUGUACAAGUCACUAGUACUAUACUUUAGUGCUAUUCUUCUCCAUUAAUAAAUGAAAGUUUUGGAUUGAACUCCCAUGGAUGGCAAGUUCAAUGUUUAGUUAUGAUUAACCCAUUUUUUUAGGCUUAACCAUAUCAUCUUGCUCUCUAUCAUUGUAUCAAAACAUAACAAACUAGAAUAUCUAACAUUUCAAAUUUUUAGUUAUCGACAAAAUGGAAAAAACUAUAUUUAAGUAUAAAUUAAUAGUCUCUGUGCUGUUAUACGAUGUGAAACAUGGUUAGAUCUGGUAAAAUAGGGAGUUUAACUGGGAAAGAGAAGCUGUCUGAUAAUUUGUUUCAAACAGUUCUAAACUAUCGGACUCUUUUGUGCCAAAAUGGUUUGUCUCUCUUGCAGUUGUGUUUUAUAAGAUUUGGCUUAUCAUUAUGCAUAUAUGCCAAUAUCGAGAUGGGAUCGUAACAGUAAUAGGAAUAAUAAUGAGUGUUGGCGUUAAAUUGAAAAAUUAUAGGGAACUUUAACGGAAAAAAAGCACCGUGUUACUGUUUCACUUUAACGAAAAAACCACAUUUUUUACACUAAAAAAGUCAACCUGGUACUAUUCACUUUACCUUUUAUUUUGUUCCUUUCAUUAAAACUCAAGUUUUCAAGCCCUUUUCAUUAUUUUCUUUAAAAUUAUAUGGGAGGCGAAUUGUGUGAAACCCUAAACCCUUAGUGGUCUACCAAAUCUAUGCAAACAACCAACCUAACCAAAAAAUGUCAACACCACCACAUGGCACAAGCAGGUCGAUGUUUUCUCAGAAACCUACCUGAACCCGAUGA
rnacentral:lncRNA from 1 species